rnacentral:tRNA from 1 species
AGGGAUGUAGCUCAGCAGUACAGUGCCUGCCUGGCAAGCACAAGGUCCUGAGUUCGAUUCCUGGUGUCCCAA